rnacentral:rRNA from 1 species
AUGAACGCUGGCGGCGUGCUUAAUGCAUGCAAGUCGAACGAGAACCUUUUGUAGGUAACUACAGAGAGACUUCUAGUGGCGAACGGGUGAGUAACACGUGAGAAACCUGCCCCAAAGACCGGGAUAGCCCAUGGAAACGUGGAUUAAUACCGGAUGCCCUCGCGGAAUCGCAUGGUUCUGUGAGGAAAUGCUCCGGCGCUUUGGGAUGGUCUCGCGGCCUAUCAGCUUGUUGGUGAGGUAACGGCUCACCAAGGCACUGACGGGUAGCUGGUCUGAGAGGACGAUCAGCCACACUGGGACUGAGACACGGCCCAGACUCCUACGGGAGGCAGCAGCAGGGAAUAUUGCACAAUGGGCGCAAGCCUGAUGCAGCGACGCCGCGUGAGGGAUGAAGGCUUUCGGGUUGUAAACCUCUUUCAGUGGGGAAGAAGCGCAAGUGACGGUACCCACACAAGAAGGCCCGGCCAACUACGUG